UACAGAGGUCCCAAGCGUUGUUCGGAUUCACUGGGCGUAAAGGGUGCGUAGGUGGCGGGGUAAGUCGGAUGUGAAAUCUCCGAGCUCAACUCGGAAAUGGCAUUGGAAACUACCCUGCUUGAGGGUUGGAGGGGGGACUGGAAUACUUGGUGUAGCAGUGAAAUGCGUAGAUAUCGUAAGGAAGACCAGUGGCGAAGGCGGGUCUCUGGACAGUUCCUGACGCUGAGGCACGAAGGCCAGGGGAGCAAACGGG
rnacentral:rRNA from 1 species